CCUACGGGUGGCUGCAGUGGGGGAUAUUGCACAAUGGGGGAAACCCUGAUGCAGCGACGCCGCGUGAGUGAAGAAGUAUUUCGGUAUGUAAAGCUCUAUUAUUAGGGAAGAAAAUGACAGUACGUGACCAAUAAGCCCUGGCUAACUACGUGCCAGCAGCCGCGGUAAUACGUCGGGGGCAAGCGUUCUCCGGAUUUACGGGGUGUAAAGGGAGCGUAGGUGGUUAUGUAAGUCUGGAGUGAAAGCCCGGGGCUCAACCGCGGGACUGCAUUGGAAACUGGGUAACUUGAGUACAGGAGGGGCAGGCGGAAUUCCUGGUGUAGCGGUGAAAUGCGUAGAUAUCAGGAGGAACACCGGCGGCGAAGGCGGCUUUCUGGACUGAAACUGACGUUGAGGCUCGAAAGCGUGGGGAGCAAACAGGAUUAGAUACCCCUGUAGUC
rnacentral:rRNA from 1 species